rnacentral:lncRNA from 1 species
AUGUUGUUUUUAAACCCAUGAAAUUUGAUUGAAUUAUGUGAAUGAUGAAAAUUUUGUUGUUGUUAAAUUCAUAAAAUUUGAUUGAAUUGUGUGAAUGAUGAAAAUGUUGAUGUUAAACCAAUGAAAUUUGAUAGAAUUGUGUGAACAUUGAAAAUGUUGUUGUUGUUGAACCCAUGAAAUUUGAUUGAAUUGUAUGAAUGAUGAAAAUGUUGUUGUUGUUAAACCCAUGAAAUUUGAUUGAAUUGUGUGAAUGAUGAAAAUGUUGUUGUUAAACUCAUAAAAUUUGAUUGAAUUGUAUGAAUGAUGAAAAUGUUGUCGUUAAAGCCGUGAAAUUUGAUUGAAUUCUGUAAGGACGAAAAUGUUAUUUUUAAACCGAUAGAAUUUGAUUGAAUUAUGUGAAUGAUAAAAAUGUUGUUGUUGAACCCAUGAAAUUUGAUUGAAUUUUAUGAAUGAUGAAAAUGUUGUUGUUGUUAAACCCAUGAAAUUUCAUUGAAUUGUGUGAAUGAUGAAAAUGUUGUUACUAAACUCAUAAAAUUUGAUUGAAUUGUAUGAAUGAUGAAAAUGUUAUCGUUAAACCGUGAAAUUUGAUUGAAUUCUGAAAAGGAUGAAAAUGUUAUUUUUAAACCGAUAGAAUUUGAUUGAAUUAUGUGAAUGAUAAAAAUGUUGUUGUUAAACCCAUGAAAUUUGAUUGAAUUGUGGGAAUGAUUAAAAUGUUCCUGUUAAACCCAUGGAAUUUGAUUGAAUUUUGUGAAU